rnacentral:rRNA from 1 species
CCUACGGGCGGCAGCAGUAGGGAAUUUUCGGCAAUGGGGGGAACCCUGACCGAGCAACGCCGCGUGAACGAAGAAGUUAUUCGUAAUGUAAAGUUCUUUUAACAGGGAAGAAAGAGAAAUUUGACGGUACCUGAAGAAUAAGCUCCGGCUAACUACGUGCCAGCAGCCGCGGUAAUACGUAGGGAGCGAGCGUUAUCCGGAAUUAUUGGGCGUAAAGGGUGCGUAGAUGGCAUAGUAAGUCUUUUGUAAAAAUGCUGGGCUCAACCCAGUAGGGCAAAAGAUACUGCAAAGCUAGAGUAUGACAGAGGCAAGUGGAACUACAUGUGUAGCGGUAAAAUGCGUAAAUAUAUGGAAGAACACCAGUGGCGAAAGCGGCUCUCUGGGCUGUAACUGACGCUGAGGUUCGAAAGCGUGGGUAGCAAACAGGAUUAGAUACCCGGGUAGUC